rnacentral:rRNA from 1 species
AGAGUUUGAUCCUGGCUCAGGACGAACGCUGGCGGCGUGCUUAACACAUGCAAGUCGAGCGGAGAGGCCCUUCGGGGUACUCGAGCGGCGAACGGGUGAGUAACACGUGGGUGAUCUGCCCUGCACUUUGGGAUAAGCCUGGGAAACUGGGUCUAAUACCGGAUAGGACUACGGCCUGCAUGGGUUGUGGUGGAAAGCUUUUGCGGUGUGGGAUGGGCCCGCGGCCUAUCAGCUUGUUGGUGGGGUGAUGGCCUACCAAGGCGACGACGGGUAGCCGGCCUGAGAGGGUGUCCGGCCACACUGGGACUGAGAUACGGCCCAGACUCCUACGGGAGGCAGCAGUGGGGAAUAUUGCACAAUGGGCGCAAGCCUGAUGCAGCGACGCCGCGUGAGGGAUGACGGCCUUCGGGUUGUAAACCUCUUUCAGCAGGGACGAAGCGCAAGUGACGGUACCUGUAGAAGAAGCACCGGCCAACUACGUGCCAGCAGCCGCGGUAAU